rnacentral:misc_RNA from 1 species
GAUGAAGAACGCAGCGAAAUGCGAUAAGUAAUGUGAAUUGCAGAAUUCAGUGAAUCAUCGAAUCUUUGAACGCACAUUGCGCCCUCUGGUAUUCCGGGGGGCAUGCCUGUUCGAGCGUCAUUAUAACCACUCAAGCUCUCGCUUGGUAUUGGGGUUCGCGGUUUCGCGGCCCCUGAAAUCAGUGGCGGUGCCUGUCGGCUCUACGCGUAGUAAUACUUCUCGCGAUUGAGUUCGAUAGGUCUACUUGCCAGUAACCCCCAAUUUUUACAGGUUGACCUCGGAUCAGGUAGGGAUACCCGCUGAACUUAAGCAUAUCAAUAAGCGGAGGA